GAAUUUGUAAAAUGCUCUCUGAGUAUAUUUGAUGAAAACAGAAUUGCUCGUUUACAAUUCAAAUCAUGAUUCAUUAAACAAGUUAGUUAAACUGCUAAUGAAAAAGAAAACUUGUAUUAAUAAAGCAUGCCCAUUAAUGAAAGUACCAAUCAAGAAGCAGCUACAAAUAUCAACAAGGAAAUCAUAAAGGUAAUCUAGAAAUAUAAUAUAAGGAAAUGCAAAAAUAUUAAACCAAAGGGCCAACUUCAGUGCCCUUAAAUUGUCCUUUCACCCUCUUUCCUAGUUUACACUAUCUAAUAUAUGCUCAUAACUCUCCUCAUUACAAUGUGAUUCUCAUCUAGACCUAAAACUUUAGAUUUAUGCAUAUUAUUCAGAACUAAUUCCACUUGCUUUGAACAAUCUAUGAUUGAUGAGGACAUCUAAAAAUCUUUCAUCUCUAAAUUUUAACACUUCCAAAAUUACGCCUUCAUCUCUAAAUUUUUUUUAUCUCCACUUAUAAUAUAUAACUUGGUAAAAAUCUACAAUCUCUUAUUUUUUUGGCUUAGUUAUUUUAAGUGUACAGCUUUCUUCUUUCUUGCAUAUAGUGAUGUAGACAAGGAAUAUAAAUGACCCUAUAUUUCUUGAACACAAAAGACACACGAGAAGAAAACUGACAAAAUAAGAAGAACUUAAAACAAACUUUGUUAAAUAAACUCAAACGACCCAAAACUUGACAAACACAACAAAAGAUGCUAGGAGAUUUUAAAGAAAUAAAGAAACUUAAAAAGACACUAUCCUCAGACAACCGUCAGAGCGGGUUCCUCACAUGCAUCGAAUUUGUAGGUUAAAUAAGUAAAGUGCAUAGAACUAGCAAACCGAUGGUCCACCACUGCAAGAUUGGCCAAUUUCUUCAACAGAUGCUUCAAAUCAACUCUGAUACGACACCCUAAAGUUGCUUUACUUUGAGAAGAAGGAUACAGAUGGAGUGGCACUUGUGGAGAGACGAAAGAGGUUAGAAGCCCGAGAAGAAAGGUUGGAAAGAGCCCGCAGGAUUUCCGGAGGGGAUGAGAAAAGAAGGUUGGAAAGAGCCCGCAGCAUUUCCGAAUAAACCCGCAGGUUAAUAGCAAAUAUGCUCACAAAUAUCAACUGCCUUUUCCUCACAACAUCAUCUCAUUUUUAUAGGCAAAGAAAAGGAAUGCCAAAAGCCACCUUUAUGAAUGCACACAUCAUCCCAAGCAUUAUUUUCCAUAGGAUUUCCAAAAGCCCUUUUCGGAAAAUCAACCCAGCAGCUCACGGAACCAAGGCACCAGCAAACAGGCGGAAAUUUCAAAGCAACACAGUAACGGGAAAAAGCAUCCCAUUUCGAAAAUCAGCCCCUUAUUAAUUCUGAAGGAAUAGUUACAGGAAACAUUGGUAACUCACGGCACCAAGGAGCCAUAAAGCAAGCAGCCCGCCAGAAUCCAAAGCAGCAAAGCAUCGGGAAAACAAAGAUUGGCUGAAUUCCCAAAGGAAAAUCAAUAACUUCCCAAUGAAUUCUCGGCAUAGAAUUCAACCCCCAUAAAAUACAAGCCACGGAAUCCCAAGAGACAAGAAGAAAAGGGGAAGGGGAAGGGACAAGGCCACUCCAAAAGUAAACUUCAUAAUGAUGUACCUUUUUGGAUAUUAAUGAGCUACUAAACUUCAGCUAAAGCAACUUAGGGAACAAGCUCAAAACCGAAUGCUCCAAAACAGCCAACCCGAGAACCACCAGCAGCCAGGGACCAAUCGAGCCAGCAAACCAAAGGUCUACCAAGCCAUAUGCACUACCUAUCAUGAUCAUUGGAUGCUUUCCCAUCAUUGGAUAGCUAAAAAA